CCCUUAGAUGUCCGGGGCUGCACGCGCGCUACACCGAAGGAAUCAGCGUGCUAAAACCAUUGUCGAAAGGCAUUGGUAAACCCAUUAAAAUCCUACGUGAUUGGGAUCGGGAAUUGCAAUUAUUUCCCUUGAACGAGGAAUUCCCAGUAAGUGUGGGUCAUAAGCUCGCGUUGAUUACGUCCCUGCCCUUUGUACACACCGCCCGUCGCUGCCCGGGACUGAGCCGUUUCGAGAAAAGCGGGGACUGCUGCUGUCGGGGCUUUCGGGCCUUGGCUUCGGUGGAAACCGCUUUAAUCGCAGUGGCUUGAACCGGGCAAAANUCGUAACA
rnacentral:rRNA from 1 species